rnacentral:pre_miRNA from 1 species
UUGGUUGCUGGUGCAGCAUCAUCAAGAUUCACAUCAUAUCACAUGCAUCUAUCUAUGAGUGAUCUGAGCUGGAUGAUGAUCAUCAGCUUCUGGGAUGGAUGGAUGGAUGGUCUAUCAGGUUUAAUGAUAGAUAUAUAGAUGAUGAGAAUCUUGAUGAUGCUGCAUCGGCCAUGAA